rnacentral:tRNA from 1 species
UCCCUAGUGGUUCAUUGGCUAAGACUCUGCACUCCCGAUGCAGGAGGCCUGGGCUCGAUCCCUGGUCAGGGAA